AAAUUGAAGAGUUUGAUCAUGGCUCAGAUUGAACGCUGGCGGCAGGCCUAACACAUGCAAGUCGAACGGUAACAGGAAGCAGCUUGCUGCUUCGCUGACGAGUGGCGGACGGGUGAGUAAUGUCUGGGAAACUGCCUGAUGGAGGGGGAUAACUACUGGAAACGGUGGCUAAUACCGCAUAACGUCGCAAGACCAAAGAGGGGGACCUUCGGGCCUCUUGCCAUCAGAUGUGCCCAGAUGGGAUUAGCUUGUUGGUGAGGUAACGGCUCACCAAGGCGACGAUCCCUAGCUGGUCUGAGAGGAUGACCAGCCACACUGGAACUGAGACACGGUCCAGACUCCUACGGGAGGCAGCAGUGGGGAAUAUUGCACAAUGGGCGCAAGCCUGAUGCAGCCAUGCCGCGUGUAUGAAGAAGGCCUUCGGGUUGUAAAGUACUUUCAGCGGGGAGGAAGGUGUUGUGGUUAAUAAC
rnacentral:rRNA from 4 species